CAAUAGCGUAUAUUAAAGUUGUUGCGGUUAAAAAGCUCGUAGUUGGAUCUCGGCAGGCAGGGGGUGGUUCGCUCUUAGCGCUACUGCCCCAUUUGCCUGUGUGAUCGGCGGAGGUUUCGGGGUGCUCUUCGUUGAGUGACCCGGGGCGCCGUCAGGUUUACUUUGAAAAAAUUAGAGUGCUCAAAGCAGGCUCUUCACGCUUGAAUAUUCGUGCAUGGAAUAAUGGAAUAGGAACUCGUUUCUAUUUUGUUGGUUUUCGGAAAUCGAGUUAAUGAUUAAUAGGGACAAUUGGGGGCAUUAGUAUUCAGACGACAGAGGUGAAAUUCUUGGACCGUCUGAAGACUAACUACUGCGAAAGCAUUUGCCAAGAGUGUUUUCAUUAA
rnacentral:rRNA from 1 species